rnacentral:lncRNA from 1 species
GCUGGAUCCCUUGUCUAUUUUAAAAGUGGAGAGACGUGGGCCCAAGACUGCCAUGUGACCAAACCUCCAUCCUCAUGCUCAGAACUGGCUAGAAGCCUAAACUGAGUCAGAGGCUGUCACCCUGGUCCAAUCUGGGAAGAAUCUCCCCUGUCCCAAAUAGAGCUCCCUACGUCCCCUGCUGAGAUGCUCCAAUCUUUCGGGAGAGUUGUCCCUUUCAAGAAUGACCUGUAAGCAGCUGCCCCAUUGCAAAAGUGUCAUCUCAAUGCCGUCAUCGACCAUGAGCACACACUGCCAUUUAAUUUCACCUUUAGGAUUACCUGGCACUUCCUCAGGCGAAGUCACCUUGGAACAAGACAUGGGAGGGUCCAGCCUUGAAGGCAUUGUAUCCAUGACAUCCACCGGAGGAGCUAAAGAAAACAUCCACAGAUCACUCUCUGCCCUUGUCCACUUUGUUCUUGGAAGGACAUCAGUGGGUUCCCUUGCCCUCUGGCUUCUGGUUGGAUUCACCCAAUGGAGAGCCCUGGCAGGAGAUUGGAAGAAGAGAGGAUAGUAAGGCCGACAAGCCCGGCUGGCUGUGGAGUAGAGGGAAACACCUCUUUUAUCAAAAUUGGCUUCAAAAGAUGUCUAUCUCCCGUUUCUGGUGAGUCAUCUGUCCAUUCACAAGUGUUGGAAGUGGGAAGGAGGCCACUGAGAGACUCCCCAAGGAUACGCUAAUUGGAUGAGGAAACUCUGGAACUGAAGGGAACUUUAAUGUCCAUUUCAUUCAUCCCUCUACUUUAAAGCACCAAACGAAGGCCCAUCCAAGGUGAAAAGCAUCCAUUUCUUGGAGAAAUGCCACUGUGAGAUUGCAAGUCCCAGGACCAGGACUUAUGUGUCUCUUUUUCCAGCGAAGUGGCUAAAGGUCUGGAGCUGAAGUUGCAAAUGCCAUAGUGUCCUUGAAUCUCAAGUCUGGACUGAAAAAAGUUCUUAAAGGUCCCCUGGUUCAACCUUCUACUUAACGUGGAAAUCCUUUCUACCACAUCCCUGCAUGGGAAUCACAGGUCUCUGUACCUGUCUAGCAUAGUCCACUUGGGGGGUUAUUCUCC